UGCGUAGGCGGCGCGGUAAGUCGGGUGUGAAAUCUCGGAGCUUAACUCCGAAACUGCAUUCGAUACUGCCGUGCUUGAGGACUGGAGAGGAGACUGGAAUUUACGGUGUAGCGGUGAAAUGCGUAGAUAUCGUAAGGAAGACCAGUGGCGAAGGCGGGUCUCUGGACAGUUCCUGACGCUGAGGCACGAAGGUAGGGAGGCAAACG
rnacentral:rRNA from 1 species